rnacentral:rRNA from 1 species
CAGCAGCCGCGGGAAUACGAAGGGGGCUAGCGUUGUUCGGAUUUACUGGGCGUAAAGCGCACGUAGGCGGAUAUUUAAGUCAGGGGUGUAAUCCUGGAGCUCAACUCCAGAACUGCCUUUGAUACUGGGUAUCUAGAGUCCGGAAGAGGUGAGUGGAACUCCUAGUGUAGAGGUGGAAUUCGUAGAUAUUAGGAAGAACACCAGUGGCGAAGGCGGCUCACUGGUCCGGUACUGACGCUGAGGUGCGAAAGCGUGGGGAGCAAACAGGAUUAGAUACCCCUGUAGUCCCUGUCUCUUAUAC